GAAGCCCAUGGGACGAAAUCUGCUCCGGUCCAACUUGAAAACUAGGUUGGAUCUCAACCAAAUCCUUCCCACUUCUGUAGGGGAAUUCACGAAGAAAGAAGAAACAGUCCUUUCUGAUUCCAACGGUUACAUGAAAAGGGAAGGAAACCGAGGCAAUGAUUAUUAAUGCAAAAGGGGACCCAUGCGGCGGUAGUCCUCGGGCAGUGAGUGAUGAGAGAUUCCUCAUCAAUGAUCUCUAACUCACGCUUAAAACCAACAAACACCAAGCAACAGAUAAAGACUCAAAUGUUUCCAUCCCCAUUUAAAUCUCUCCCUCUCUAUUUGCAAUAUUCGUCAUUUUUUCUUAAAACAAAACUCAAUGAAAACCAAGGUUUCAUCUCAACAACAAGAAAGUAGAUCUAUAUUUAUCAGUGUAAACCAUGAACUACCAUAAAGUUCUAUCAGAAAAAACAAGAACUCAAACACAACACAAGAACCUUAAAACGAAAGACGAGAACAAAUCAUUGAUGUGUCGAGGCACAAAUCACGCAGAAGGAAAACAGACCACACAUACAUUCAGUUGCAUCAAAAUCAAAUAGAGCAAGGAGUAUAGGGUUAAACUCUUACCAACUCGAGAUGCUUCAGAGACGAAUAAGUAGGUAUGUGUUUUGUCUGCUCUUCCUGCUUCUUUGAUCCUUCUUUAUAGUGAUUCCUUGUUCGUAUUUUGUUGAAGGAUUUGAGCUCUUCAAACUCUGAUUUUCGAUGUGAAAAUCAGAGUUGAGGUUGAUAUUAACUGAGCUUUGAUUGCAAGGUUCAAUGGGAAUUUCAACAGAGGUUUGGUAUCGCCCCCUUUCUCAAUGAAUGAAGUCUCUUUAUAUAGAGAGGAGAUAUGAGGUUUAGGGAUGGUGUACGCACCAUGAGCUGGAAAAUCACAGCAAAUCAUUCCGUUGGAAAAACAAAUCCUUCUCAGAUUUGAUGUGGUCCCCAAAUGAGGGUGGUGCGUACGAAUAUGUUUGUAGCGAAAGGUGUAGCUAUUUCGUGCUGAAUUUUAUUGAAUUCUUACUACUGUAACACCUGGAUUUGUUAUGUUCAUUUGUUCAGGGUAUGGUGUGCUUGCUACCAGAAUAUAAUUCAUUUAGCCUCUAUUUUUGAUGUAGCUAUUGUAAGAGAGCAUGAUAAAUUGUUCUCAUGAUGGACACAUGGACUCUGCCAUUGGCAUCGUGAUACUUUAGUGACUUUCCUUUCCUUGAUUGUUUGGCUAUGGAUGUUAGAUAAUGGACUAGAAAUUUGUUGCAGCAGGGUUCUUGCUAGGUCUACCUCAUGAGCAAUGAUGGAUUCCAUGGUUGGAUUGAGCUUGGAUCUGCAUCGUGGUUUAGCAUUGAUACAAGAUACUUGUUGUAUUAGUUUUUAGUUAUCCUACUGAUGUUUCCCAUGCCAUUCACUUUGGGAAUCCUUGUUGUACUAUAAGUGACCUAAAACAAGAGAAACCUGUGGUUGUAUGCUUGAGGCUUAGCCAUGGUUACCAAUAGUCAAAUGCAGACUGAAGGUUAAAGCAUGGUUCUGGCAAUUUUGGCGUGAUGAUGGUGUUUUAUGUGGAUGCAACAGGGUUCCAACAGUUUGCUACGCAUGUCUUCUAGGUAAUUGAUUUGUUUAAUGGUGCAAGAUAUUGGCUACAGGGUUCCGUUGUUUCUAGAUUAUCCAUGCUUGCAAUUUCUUGUCCUGGUUCUUAUUAGUGACAUUGGUUAUCGAUAUUCAAGGUUCCAAAACAUGAUUCCAUGGUACCAUUGGCAUUCAACUUGGUGUAGUCAAAUCACUUUGGUUCACAAUUGUUCUACAUAAUAUCAUGUACUGCAAGACCUGUGGCUUGCACGUCUUCUGUCUCGCGCCUACCCGCUAGCUUAUGGCGGCAGGUUGUUCCCUAAUUUGAACACCUUGCUUUGGUGAUGUUGAAGUUUGAUAAAGAUCAAGGUGUGUUCAUGAUGCUGCAGACCUUGCUUUUGCUGCCUCUUUGCUUACAUUGGACCAUCCUUGAACCUAACCAUGUUUUGUUUGUAAUAUGUAAUGACAUGAGUUAUAUUAUCAAUCCAUUUGGUCGUGUUAGCCGUGUAUUUGCAUCACGAUAAUGUAUAUGGGCCACUUAAAAUUUACACACGUGAUGGUAUGCCACACUUGUUGGCUUGUAAAUGUAAUUUGCAAUUUGGUAUGUAAACAUGUUUUUUUUUAA